ACAAACUUGGUCAUUUAGAGGAAGUAAAAGUCGUAACAAGGUUUCCGUAGGUGAACCUGCGGAAGGAUCAUUAACAAAUCCUUUUUUAUUGUGCUUGUGUAUCAUGUUGAUUGUUGAUUCAUGUGCAUUAUGAUGAGUGAUGCAUGUGUCUCCCUUCCAAUGAUCACACACACAUGUGUUCCAUGUGCACUUGUUUAUGCAUCUGCACAUUUGACAUUUCUGCUUUAUUUGUCUGAUUAUUAUCAUGCCAUUUGGUUGGGAUGAUAAAUAAUGUAUUAUGCAAAGAAUGACUUUUAACAAUGGAUCUCUAGGCUCUUGCAUCGAUGAAGAACGCAGC
rnacentral:misc_RNA from 1 species